rnacentral:rRNA from 1 species
CCUACGGGGGGCAGCAGUGAGGAAUAUUGGUCAAUGGACGAGAGUCUGAACCAGCCAAGUAGCGUGAAGGAUGACUGCCCUAUGGGUUGUAAACUUCUUUUAUAUGGGAAUAAAAUGUUCCACGUGUGGGAUUUUGUAUGUACCAUAUGAAUAAGGAUCGGCUAACUCCGUGCCAGCAGCCGCGGUAAUACGGAGGAUCCGAGCGUUAUCCGGAUUUAUUGGGUUUAAAGGGAGCGUAGGUGGAUUGUUAAGUCAGUUGUGAAAGUUUGCGGCUCAACCGUAAAAUUGCAGUUGAAACUGGCAGUCUUGAGUACAGUAGAGGUGAGCGGAAGUCGUGGUGUAGCGGUGAAAUGCUUAGAUAUCACGAAGAACUCCGAUUGCGAAGGCAGUUCACUGGACUGCAACUGACACUGAGGCUCGAAAGUGUGGGUAUCAAACAGGAUUAGAUACCCGUGUAGUC